rnacentral:rRNA from 1 species
UGCGUAGGUGGUUACCUAGGCGCAAGGUUUAAAUUAGAGGCUCAACCUCUACAUGCCUUGCGAACUGGGCUACUUGAGUGCAGGAGGGGAAAGCGGAAUUCCUAGUGUAGCGGUGAAAUGCGUAGAUAUUAGGAGGAACACCGGCGGCGAAGGCGGCUUUCUGGACUGUAACUGACACUGAGGCACGAAAGCGUGGGUAGCAAACA